rnacentral:rRNA from 1 species
UACGUAGGGGGCAAGCGUUGUCCGGAUUUAUUGGGCGUAAAGAGCUCGUAGGCGGUUUGUCACGUCGGCUGUGAAACCCGAGGCUCAACCUCGGACCUGCAGUCGAUACGGGCGAGACUAGAGUGCUGUAGGGGAGACUGGAAUUCCUGGUGUGAGCGGUGAAAUGCGCAGAUAUCAGGAGGAACACCCGUGGCGAAGGCGGCUCUCUGGGACGGUACUGACGCUGAGACGCGAAAGCGUGGGGAGCGAACAGG